rnacentral:rRNA from 1 species
UACGUAGGGUGCAAGCGUUAAUCGGAAUUACUGGGCGUAAAGCGUGCGCAGGCGGCUUUGCAAGACAGAUGUGAAAUCCUCGGGCUCAACCUGGGAACUGCAUUUGUGACUGCAAGGCUAGAGUACGGCAGAGGGGGAUGGAAUGCCGCGUGUAGCAGUGAAAUGCGUAGAUAUGCGGAGGAACACCAAUGGCGAAGGCAAUCCCCUGGGCCUGUACUGACGCUCAUGCACGAAAGCGUGGGGAGCAAACAGG